GAAGCGCAGUAAUGUGUGAAGCUAACUUGUACUAAUUGGCUGAUUGUCUUGACCAUAUAAUCUGAGUUACUUUAGAU
rnacentral:rRNA from 1 species